CCCCAGGAUGACCAUCAGAUCCUCAUGGGUCCGCUUUUUCCUGAAGGAAAGUGUCUUAGGGCUGGGCUCUGCAGACAAGGAUUUUUUUCUUUCAUUGGUGUCUUUCUUAUGUCAAGCCUGUGGCAGAAGAGAGAAAAACUGCGGCAAGCGGUGAAUUCUAACCUCUUCCUGUGCCUCAGAACUGACCGGAAUAGAGACAACCUGCAGCCACUUCACCCUUCUGUGCUUCUGAGAUGCUUUCUUUUGUUCCCGGCCCCGUGUGAACCUUUGCCGCAAUCCCCUUGAUCCUCUGGAGCUAGGGAGAGCUUCAAGGUUUUCCUCCUCAUCCCUCCCGUAUCCCCCUCAAGGCCAAGUACGCGGAUGGGCCGUGGUGGCGCUAGACCGCAGUAAGGAACGCCUUCCCUUCCGGACUGCUCGAGAACACGCGCGCACGCCUGACUGCGGCUGUGCAACGUGACGUAGCGUUCCGAGGGCCUGUGGCGGCUCGGUUGCGGCCACUUCUCAAAGAGAUUUAAAUGGAUCCCCCCCCCCCCCCCCCAGACUAACGACCUGCGCCAGGGAAUGUCCCUGCCUGUUACUUCUGUCCGCCGUAGCACCAUCUGGACCGAGGGGUCUCCUGCCCAGGCCUCACUUCCAGCCGGGUUGUCCACAAGUGCAGAAAGAGCAGACAUUGUUCACGCAGCGGAGGGGGCCCGGGGACCUGGAGACAGAGCCGUGGCCGACAAGCCGCCGGGUCCCUCAGAGGACCGCCGCGAGGGAAGUCUCAGGGACCAGGACCCAGGAGCCGUCUGACCCAGACCCGGCGCCCUCUCGGGGAGCUGGCCACUCUGCUGGUUUCAACCGUGAAGUUUAGAAAUAAAAGUGCGCUAGAUGGCCUUGCUUGGACUUUGAAGGAGCCACAGCAAACUUAAGUGGCCGCAAGGUGAGUGGAGAGGAGGCAGAUUGGCAAGGCGUUGUGAAUAUGGAACCGGUUCUCUGAAUAAUGCGUCACCGUUUCAAAAGAGCGUUCACGUCCUGCUUUGGUGGAAGCAGGUGUGAUCGUGUUUAAAGCAGGGGUCUGGGGAGCUGGACUUGACUGCAGUGCGUGCAUUUCUACUUCUGAGAGCCUGCAGUGCUGGGCUGGUGACGGUGCAACUCCUGGCUCUCUGCGCGGACAAAAAAAACCCACCCUGAUUUACACUGUUUGCCGCUUCCGGUCGUGUAAAUACUCCCACCACCGCAGAUCCCGGGCUACCUGUGUGAUGUCACUGAUGGCAGGCACGGGAAGAGACGCCAACGACUGGCUUUCCUAAGCGAGUAGGAGCCAGCUCCGUGGCACUGCUCUCAUCCGGGUACCUGAGCAUCGCCUGUGUGUGUCCCACACACCCUCCUGUCCCCGUGUGCCUCUGAGAUGGCUCCCAGAGGGCAGAACCAUCCAUCAAAGCCGGGCAGGCCUCCAGCUCAGGAAUUCCAGUUUGGCAGACGUCUUACAACCUUGUGUGGUGAAAAGUUUGCCGGCACCACUUCGACACAAAGUGGCAUAGUAAAGAAAGGAAAUAAUAUUCUGUCUUCAAGGAAGUAUCUGUUCCGGGUAUGACUCCCUACCCAAUAGCUAGCCUUUGAAUACUUCACCUCUCUUCCUAGGUAGCAGGCUCCCUGUCAUAAUCUGAAAAAAACUUUCCUAGAGAGCAAACUGACUCUGAAACUAAAUGCCAAACUGAGUCAAAGCGAGGAAGAUGGAGGAAACUCCAAGCUGUACAGCUUCUUAAAUAGGACUUCCAAGCAGAGAUAAAGUACGCGUUGGCGGGCCAUGUCCUGGUUGGUUUGACUGUUGUGGUUCCGCCGGCCCCUUACGAAAGAUCAAUAGCACAGGGCAUGUGCAUGGCCCCCUCAGAGAGCAGCAAGGCACAAAGAGGCAGUGAGGGGUUCUUUUCUCUCUGGUAUUUUUCCAGAUCAAAGAACUGGGACUAGCUGAAGUACGAAUUAGAAACAAAAUGACAGACAAACCCAUUCAUACCUUUCUUUGUUUUCCACAUAACUGUGGACAAAAGUGGACAAAAGUGGAUGGAAUAACUAAACCAGGAUGCAGAGGAAGAGUGGCAUUGGGGAAGAAAACCAAAUGGAAGGAAGGCCUUACGAGUUUGCCUUGUAUGGGGGAAGAUGGAGCUUGGAGCUUGUCUGGACGGGAGAGGACUUUCGAAUAGAUCUGUAUUGGAAACUGCAGAAAGGGAAAACACUGAAAAACGUCCCUACCAAUGGGAUGGAUGUGGAAAUAACUGAAGUCUGAAAGAGUGAGAAUGAAUUACGUGGUGGUUACAAUGCACAAUAGGAGGAACCAGGUGACUGAUAACUGAGAAG